UGAGCAAUCUGCCCUUCUCAUCGGAAUAAGCGUUGGAAACGACGUCUAAUGCCGAAUACGACCUCCUUUCGCAUGAUCGGAGGUGGAAAGCUCCGGCGGAGAAGGAUGAGCUCGCGGCCUAUCAGCUAGUUGGUGUGGGUAACGCCCACCAAGGCGACGACGGGUAGCCGGCCUGAGAGGGUGACCGGCCACACUGGGACUGAGACACGGCCCAGACCUCCUACGGGAGGCAGCG
rnacentral:rRNA from 1 species